AUUAUGCCAAUCUGGCCAACAGGAAGCUAAUUUCUAUUCUGUAUUUUGUCAGAUGUGCAGAAUACAUAUGGUCAUCAUUGAAAAUAGGUGAAAGAUCUGCUCUAAUAUGGACACUAAGUGGUGCUGGAGGAUGAUCCUGACCCACAAUGAGCAGUGGGAACACCAGAGCCCUGUAGGGAUGGCUGGCAAGCUAACACAUUGAGCAUGCACAGCUCAGUAAAUUUCCUGUGAAUACACAUCUCCUGAGAUCUCUCUAUUUAAUUGGAGGUGAUCCUGUCCACCUAAUACAGCACAUCAUGUGGAAUAACAAAAGCUACCUGCAGGAGCUGUGGUGAUGACUCACAGGAUAGAGCAUCUGCUGCUCUCUCAGAAGAACCACAUGGACCAUAACAAUUGGGUGCUUCCUACACAAGAAGUCACAUGACCACAGAGUGUCAUUUGUCAAACAACCAAGAACUUGUUCAAAACUCUACAGAGCAUCCAAUCUAUCAUGUGGAUAUGCAAUAAUGAGAGCCUUCUGAAGAUGCCUAGACAAUCCUGGGAUGAGUAACAGUCUUUUAUGGAACUGAAAACUGAGUCCUAAUGACCCUGGCACACUGAUGUGUAAACAGCACAAGAGAUAGAACCAGAGCUGAAGACCAUCCAAUCCAGAAAAAGAAAGUCAGAAAUGGCCAUUCCACAGGUGAUAGCCUUUCUGACCAGAACUUACCUAGAGAAGGUCUUCAUAAUAUGGAUUUGGCCUGAAGUGUGGCCUGGCCCCAAAUGAUAGAAUCCAAUGAACAUCAGCAUUUAGGAAUAUAUGAACUCAGGGUGGGUCCUGUACUACCCCAGUCCUGGAAGGACACCUUCUGAAUUCUACAUAUUGGAUCUUCUUCAGCUUCAGAAACCUGUUUUUCUGUGUCCAGGACACCAGAAUCUCAGCAUCCAGAUGGAGGGUUCCCUGGCUCCCUUUGUUCAAUCAAGAGGAAAUCUGCAGUCAAGCCAGUUAAGCUAUCAAGAGCCUAGGCCACACCUCUCCAUGCUCCCCCACCCAACACACCCAGAAACCGGUGAUUUCUUUUUUCCUGUCCCGAUAACAGACCAUAUAUCAACACAAAAUUAUAAUCUGCACAAGGAAUACAAAUAAACAGACAAUCAUGGUCACAUAGACAAAGAACUGUGCUGUUGACAGUGGGGCUCCCAGAACAAAGCAUUCACAUCACCAUGAAAGUGUUACAGGUAAAUACUCAGGCCAAGACAUAGACCC
ensembl:lncRNA